AAUGAACGUUGGCGGCAUGGAUUAGGCAUGCAAGUCGAGCGAGAAGUGUAGCAAUACACGGAGAGCGGCGGAAGGGAGAGUAAUACGUGGGAAUCUGCCCUUAGACCUGGGAUAGCAGCGGGAAACUGCUGGUAAUACCAGAUAAUGUCUAUGGACCAAAGGUGUGAUUCCGUCUAGGGAUGAGCCCACGUCCUAUUAGCUAGUUGGUAGGGUAAUGGCCUACCAAGGCGAUGAUGGGUAGCGGGUGUGAGAGCAUGACCCGCCUCACUGGGACUGAGACACUGCCCAGACACCUACGGGUGGCUGCAGUCGAGAAUCUUCGGCAAUGGGCGCAAGCCUGACCGAGCGAUGCCGCGUGCGGGAUGAAGGCCUUCGGGUUGUAAACCGCUGUCGAGGGGGAGCAACUUCCAUAGAGUUAUCUUUAUGGAUUGAGUGAUCCCUGGAGGAAGGACGGGCUAAGUUCGUGCCAGCAGCCGCUGUAAAAC
rnacentral:rRNA from 1 species